GCUUUGGCUGGGCUAUUUGCAUUGUUUUGUUGACCAGAUCUGAACUUCUCUUCAGACAGGGGAAGUGAGGUGAAGCUUACCUUCCUGCAAGUGUGCAAACAUGUGGAUGUAUGUUCUACAACUUUUCCACACCAGAUGAAAUGAAUCUUGGUCCUGUCACCCUCCGAUGUUUGUGUAUCAAUUGCUUUUCUCCGAUCCAAAUGCUUGCGCUGGGAGAGAAAAGCAGUGUUGGCACUUCACCAUGUUUGUCUGAUCAGGGAUUCAGAAAACUCAAAGGAACUUGAUGAAUGCUGCUUUUGAGCGGAGAGCAAAAACAAGCAUUGACAUAAAGUUGUUGCAUCUCAUGCUGAAUUUGGUAAUGAUGGAUGCAAGUGCUCUUUAGACCACCUAGGCCUAAUUAACAAUCUGCUAGUAGAGUAGUAGCUAUUUCAGGCUACUGACCCAGUGCUUUAUCCCCCCAAA